UCUCAUAGGUGAGGAGCUACCCCGCUUGUGUCCCACCCGGUGAGCUACCCGCUCAUGAGCUACCCCGCUCGUGUGACAACUCCGGAGUGCACUGCUUGUGUGGAGCGACCACCCCAAGCCCAAACAGACUAUGUGAGUAUGAUCCAAUCCUCGCCAACUGAGGAUACCCUGUCAACUAGGGUUAACAAACACUCGGGAAUCCACCUAUCCCUAUGUUCAAUGCCAUAGUAUCUCAACUACACUAAUCAACAAUCACACGGGAAUCCAACUAUCCCUAUGUUCGAUGUCAAGUGUCUCAAUUACACUAAGAUCUCAUGCAAUGUAUCAUAACUAGGGAAACUCACCUAUUCCCUUCGUUCAAUGCCAUAGUGUUUCUUUUACACUAAGUUCCAAUGCCACUCGUUUACAUCAUUAUGUUGUAAGUGUCUCACCCACACUAAUUUACAUGCCACUCGUCCAAGUUAUAAGUGUUUCCAUUACACUAGUUCACAUGUCCCUAGUUUUCAUCAUCAAGUCCGAGUUCACCAUUUUCUUAUCACUAUAGGAUCUCAUGUCAUAAGUCCUAAUCCUCAUGCACCCUAGAUUUAAGUGUCGAGCCCACAAUGCUACACUACUAAGCACGCAUGCAAGGAAGUUGAAAUGUAACUAUACCAAUCAUCCUAUAAUGCAUAAGAACAAUAUGUGAAACAUGAUCAAUAAUCUAACUCGGACAUAGAAGGAAGCCCAGUUGCUUCGGGAUGACACCCCCCACCUUUAGGUGAUGCCACGAGUCCACGAAUCCGAUUUCGUAAUUUUUGGACGCCGC
rnacentral:lncRNA from 1 species